AUCACUCUCACAAUUUUAACAGAUCUUCAUCUGUGUCAGCCAGGUAGAUGACGUUAGCUUGAUGACAUAUUUACAUCAGAAAAAAAAAAAAAAAAAACAUCUGCAGAUUGUUGGAACAUAAAAAUGGAAGCAUAAGUGACAUUACCAUCAAUGGAACUCUGGAACUCUCUCGUUCCAGAAAGCUUACCCCUAGACCAACAAAUCAUUUUUUUAUUACUCCCCACUACUUUUUAAAACAAAGUGACAUCCAUUUAACCGAUUACAUAAAUAAUCACAUGGAAAAUCUAUUUGGGAUAAAAAGUGUGUGAACUGGAGUGUGAAAAGAUAUCACACAGUUGUUGCUGUGAGUGCAGUGCAAUGUAUUGUGUAUUUCACCUUUUGGACUAGUGUAGCAUGUAGUGUGCUGAUGAGCCAUUGAUUUUAAUUCCAGAUAGAGGCAGAUUGAACUGAUAAUCACAAUUCUGUCUAAACUAAUUUAUCAGUCACCUCUGCAUAAUUAAGGGCAAGCACUGUAUUGAUAAGGGAUUAAAGCGUACUUGGAUACAAAGCAGUACAUUUCCUCUAAUGAACGCAUCAGACGAGACGCACCCUCUGUGGUCGCUAUCAAACAUUAGUAGGCUAAAAAGGUCAAUUUUUCCAUUCCUGAAAGAUCUUUUGCUGCUUUUCUGUGUUUAGAUUUAGAACUUGAUGUUUUUAGCUGUAUUGCUGGAACAUUUUAUUGACCACUCAGCAUACAGUACCAUAAAUAUCCAUUUGUCUUUUAUUCAAGAUCUACUUGUAUGACUUUUCUCUUUUUCUCGUUCUUCCCAGUGCAGUGUGGCACAGUCUGGCUGUUGGCUGAAGGGGCUGACAUUGAGAUGGUAGAUAACGCUCAAUGACGGAGAGGCCAUUUGCUGCUGAUCCUGGGGUGAUGAAUCACACGACCGGAAAGAGAUGAGCUCGGAGCGCCGAGGAGAGAAAUGUGAAACAAGAAGAUAGUCAGCGAGAGGCCAAAAUUAAGGCCCUGUCGAGACGGCGACGCAGGGCUGGCAGAGGGGGACAUGGCCGGCCUGAGAGGACCCCGUGUAGAGCCUGCAGGAGGGAGCGAAGUGUGAUAAGGGAAGCAGUAGCGCCUGGUCUUCUUGUUGAAAGCGUGUCAGGCCUUUUGAUAUGGUACAGCCCCGAACCAUCCCGCAAGCUCUCGGUGGGAGGACAUGUGCGUACGCAAUCCCACACACACAUUUGUCAUCGCUUGAUGUAAAUGAGCCCCGUAUUUACAGCUAGUGCAGCGUUAUCGGUGUGAACCGGGAGUGACUUCUAUGUAAGGACGGCAGGAGAUGGCGACUGUACUAUUCAUCACUUCAAAGACGCACACCUCAUGGUCACCUGACCAACACUGACUUGGAGACAGUGUAGAGACGAUAUGGGCCAUUAAAACAUACUAGACUUGAUGAUGGACAGCUUUAUGCCACAAAUACCUCAAUGAUGAAAUGUGCUGCCAGGGGGGAACGCGCAGGAAAAGGGAUGCUGA
ensembl:lncRNA